AUUGAUACCUAACGUUAGUUCUUAGUUUUAUAUUUGCCUCUUUUACACUGAAAAUACUUGUAACAAUAUAUUUGUUUUAUUAUGUAGUAUAUUUUUUAGUACUUACAAUAUCAAUAUUACUAAUGGUAAACAUACUGAAUAAAACUUAAAAGACUUCUUUGCAGUUCUUUUUGUCCUUAGACUGACUAAUAGCCCACUAAGGAUGUAGUGUUCAAAAGUUAAUGGAAAUCACUCUUUUUCUCUAUAUGGCUAUGUUAAUAAUGUGAUACAACUAGGUGAACUUGUUUUGUAUUCAAUUUUAGAAUUUACAUAAAGAUUUUUAUUCUAUUUUUGAAUAAAGGAUUUACAUGGUUCAAAGUUAAAAGUAUACUCAGAGAAGUCUGUCAUGCCUAUCCUUCCACCCCGUUCUUAACCACUCCCAAAAGUAGAAUUUUCACUAGUUUCUAGUUUGAAUUUCCUGUUUCUUUUUGAAAAAUAAACAGUUACGGAUAUUGCUAUAUUUAUUGUUUCUUUUGAGAUGUGGAAUGUGUUCUCUGCUUUUAAAUUUCCUUUUUAUGUUUAGAAAGCUUUGUAUGUUCUAGCGGUUACAUUUAAACUAUUGACAUUUUAUGUUAAGCUCUUAGAGCCCCUUUUUUUGCUUGUCUAGGCUUCUAGUUUAUCACCUUUAAAUGUUGAUUCCCCGAGGCACCUGGGUGGCUCGGUCAGUUAGGCAUCUGCCUUAGGCUCAGGUAGUGAUCUUGGGGUCCUGGGAUUGAGCCUCGUGUCAGGCUCUCUCCUCAGCAGGGAAUUCUGCUUCUCCUGCUCCCUCUGCCUCUCUACUUGCUUGUGCUCUUUCUCUCAAAUGAAUAAAUGAAAUCUUAAUAAAAAAAAAAGUUGAUUCCCAUCUAAUUGCCUUGUGACAACCAAUGAACUUAUUUUUUCCUCCUUCCUCUAAUCUUCAUAUUUGUUAGUUCCCUUACUUUUAUUUGAUUAGAGCAUAUAUAACAUUUACACAUUCCUUUCUCACUCUAGUGCCUAGUGCCUGUUUUAUACUAUUAAAUAUACUUUAAAUAUACUUAAUACUCUCCACUAGUACUUUAGCUGAAUCCUCCCCAAUCACGUCAAGGCUGGACAGAACUCUUCCAGUAAAGUAUAUAAGAAGAACUUCUACACACACCUUCCUCAAGUUCUGGCAUGUUUAAAAUUUAUUCUAGAAUUGAGAACUUUUUUUUUAUUUUUUAUUUUUUGAGAGACAGCAUGCACAAAUAUAUAUAUAUAUAUGUACACACACACUCACACACAAUAAGUCUGUUAGAAGAGGACUGAUCUCUUAUUUACUCUUGCAGCUCUUCUAGCAUAAAGCCUGGGAUAUUCUGGACAUUCAAUGAGUUAAGUUUGUCUUUAUUACAUUAUUACUAACAGCACUUGCCACAAACUGCAAUUAUCUUCCUUUUGUGUUUGUUUCAUAACUUUGUCCUCCAGUAUAAUUAAGUUUCAUGUAGAUAAAUAUGAUCUCAUGUACUAAUGUAUCCUCAGUGUUUAGUAAACCAAUGACAAACACUCAUAAGGUAGUCAAAAUAUUUUUUGAAUGACUGAAUAAUCAGUUCCUUAGGAUGGUAAAAUUAGCAUAGAUGGGUGAGGUCUCAUUAUGAGGGGCUAUGAAAAGUCAGAGUCACCACACAAUAAAUUAUCUUACCAGCUCUCUACAUCCACCCAAAACAAGCUCCUGGGAACUUAGUUUUGAAAUCUUGUCAUGAUUCCUCUAAAGAGCUUCAAGUUGGGGCUGAAAUGUUUUAGCAAGGGAAUAUUUUUAAACAAUGAUGACGGGUACUUGACUGGCUCGGUAGAACAUGCCAUGCUUGAUUUUGAGUUCAAGCCUCACCUUGGAUAUGGAGCCUACUUAAUAAUAAUAAUGAUAAUAAACAAAUGAUGAAUUUACUUAUUGAUGGUAAAAUGUAACUUGAACUACCCAUUAAGCUAAAGUGCCUUCUUCUCCCUUCCAUGGAAGAGUGCUUUGUUUUCCAUUUCUAGUCAAAUAUUCUAUGUAGAAAUAGAAGGAACAGAAUAUUCAAAUUUAUUUUUUAACAUUUUAUUUAUUUUGAAAUAAUCCCAAACUUACAUAAAAGUUGCAACAAUAGGGAGGUGCCUGGGUGCUCAGCUAGUUGAGCGUCCCAACUCUUGAUCUCAGUUCAGGUCUUGCUCUCAGGGUCCUGAGUGUAAGCCCAGAGGAGCCUAUUUAAAAAAAAAAAAAGUUGCAACAAAACACAUUCCUUUUACCCUGUAUAUUAGCUAUCUAUAGCUGUAUUACAAACUACCCCAAAACUUAGUGGCUUAAAACAGUACUUUUUAUCUUAGUUUCUGAGACCCAGAGAACCCAAAGUGGUUAAUCUGGGUGGUCCUAGCUCAGAUUUUCUGAAAUUGGAGUCAGGAUGUUGGCAGCGCUUGCAAUCAGAUGAAGUUUAACCAGCACUGGAGGAUCUGCUUCCAACACUACUCACAUAUCUGUUAGUAGGAGACCUCUGUUCCUGGACAUCUAGACCUGGCCAUAGGCUGCUGGAGUGUCAUCACAUAGCAGCUGGCUUCCCCAGACUUAGGCCCAGAAUGAAUGAAAAGGGAGAAUGAGCAGGAAGAUACUAUGCCUUUUAUGACCUACUCACUGAAGUCAGUGCUGUCAGUUCUGCUAUAUCCUAUUAGAAAAGAGUCACUCAGCCCAGUCUCACACUGAAGGUAAGAAUCAGAUCCCGUCUCUUCCAAGGAGCAGUAUCAUGGAAUUUGUGAACAUAUCUUAAACUCACCAUACCCAAAUACACUAUUUUUUUUAAAGGAGGGGGACAGAUUAUUUUAAAAAUUUAUUUAUUCAUGGGCAGCUUGGGUGGCUCAGAGGUUUAAUGCCGCCUUCAGCCCAGGGUUUGAUCCUGGAGACCCCGGAUCGAGUCCCAUAUCCGGCUUCCUGAGCGGGGCCUGCUUCUCCCUCUGCCUGUGUCUCUGCCUCUCUCUGUCUCAUGAAUUAACUUUUAUUUUUUUAAAGAUUUUAUUUAUUUAUUCAUGAGAUACACACACGCACACAGAGGCAGAGACACAGGCAGAGGGAGAAGCAGGCUCCACGCAGGGAGCCCGACGUGGGACUCGACCUCAGGUCCCCAGGAUCACGCCCCCGGCGCUAAACCGCUGAGCCACCCGGGCUGCCCUAAAUACACUACCUUUUUUUUUUUUUUUUUUUUUUUUUUUGACAAUUUGUCAUUUUGUCACUCUAACCCCCUUCUCACAUUUACAAGCAUGGUAUUUCCUAACUACCUGAGAGCAGGCAACGUGCAUCACAUCCCUUCAUUCCUUAAGACUUCAGUCUAUUAAGAAAAGGGAUAUAUUCUCUUACCUAAUAGUACAAUUAAAAUCAGAUUUA
rnacentral:lncRNA from 1 species